UUCCAGACUCCUACGGGAGGCAGCAGUGGGGAAUAUUGCACAAUGGGGGAAACCCUGAUGCAGCGACGCCGCGUGAGUGAAGAAGUAUUUCGGUAUGUAAAGCUCUAUCAGCAGGGAAGAUAAUGACGGUACCUGACUAAGAAGCCCCGGCUAACUACGUGCCAGCAGCCGCGGUAAUACGUAGGGGGCAAGCGUUAUCCGGAUUUACUGGGUGUAAAGGGUGCGUAGGUGGCAUGGCAAGUCAGAAGUGAAAGCCCGGGGCUCAACCCCGCGGACUGCUUUUGAAACUGUCAGGCUGGAGUACAGGAGAGGUAAGCGGAAUUCCUAGUGUAGCGGUGAAAUGCGUAGAUAUUAGGAGGAACACCAGUGGCGAAGGCGGCGUACUGGACGGUAACUGACACUGAGGCACGAAAGCGUGGGGAGCAAACAGGAUUAGAUACCCCGGUACAU
rnacentral:rRNA from 1 species